GGCCCCGUAGCUCAGGUGGUUAGAGCAGCGGACUCAUAAUCUGACGGUCGGGGGUUCGAAUCCCCCCGGGGCCA
rnacentral:tRNA from 2 species